AACCUAAUUAAGUGGAUUUGUUGCCUAGACCUAAAUGAGUGUCUUUGUUGCCCCCUUCUGGUACUGCAUGUUAAUACAAGCGUGUAAUAUUCAUGUCUCUGUGAGGCAAAACGUGACACUGACACGCUGUCCUCUG